UCCUGCUGGAUGAUGCUGCAGGACCCUACUAUCAUCGGGGUGGGACUACGACAUGCAAGUCGUGUCGUCUAGACAUAUGGUGAGACGCGGCGUACAGCUCUAAUAUCACGUGGCUAACCUGCCUUUAGGACAGGGGACAACCCCGGGAAACUGGGGACAAUCCCCGAUAGGUGAGGAGGCCUGGAAUGGAUCUUUGCUGAAAGGACGUUAAGACCAUGCUUCUAGACGUUGCCUAAGGAUGGGGCCGCGUCCGAUCAGGUUGUUGGUGAGGUAACGGCUCACCAAGCCUAUAACCGGUACGGGCCGUGAGAGCGGGAGCCCGAAGAUGGGCACUGAGACAAGGGCCCAGGCCCUACGGGGCGCAGCAGUCGCGAAAACUCCGCAAUGCGCGAAAGCGUGACGGGGCUAUCCCGAGUGCCGUCCGCUGAGGAUGGCUUUUCCCCGGUGUAAUGAGCCGGGGGAAUAAGGAGAGGGCAAGCCUGGUGUCGGCCGCCGCGGUAAAACCAGCUCUCCGAGUGGUAGGGACGAUUAUUGGGCUUAAAGCGUCCGUAGCCGGCUUGGCAAGUCUUCCGUUAAAUCUAGCGACUCAAUCGUUGGACUGCGGGAGAUACUGUUGGGCUAGGAGGCGGGAGAGGUCGACGGUAUUCUCGGGGUAGGGGUGAAAUCCUAUAAUCCCGGGAGGACCACCAGUGGCGAAGGCUGUCGGCUAGCACGCGCUCGACGGUGAGGGACGAAAGCUGGGGGAGCGAACCGGAUUAGAUACCCGGGUAGUCCCAGCUGUAAACGAUGCGGGCUAGGUGUUGGGGUGGCUACGGGCCACUUCAGUGCCGCAGGGAAGCCAUUAAGCCCGCCGCCUGGGGAGUACGGCCGCAAGGCUGAAACUUAAAGGAAUUGGCGGGGGAGCACCACAAGGCGUGAAGCUUGCGGUUUAAUUGGAGUCAACGCCGGA
rnacentral:rRNA from 1 species